rnacentral:rRNA from 1 species
AACGAACGCUGGCGGCAUGCCUAACACAUGCGAGUCGAACGAGACCUUCGGGUCUAGUGGCGCACGGGUGCGUAACGCGUGGGAACCUGCCCUUAGGUUCGGAAUAACUCCCCGAAAGGGGUGCUAAUACCGGAUAAUGUCUUCGGACCAAAGAUUUAUCGCCUUUGGAUGGGCCCGCGUUGGAUUAGCUAGUUGGUAGGGUAAAAGCCUACCAAGGCGACGAUCCAUAGCUGGUCUGAGAGGAUGAUCAGCCACACUGGGACUGAGACACGGCCCAGACUCCUACGGGAGGCAGCAGUGGGGAAUAUUGGACAAUGGGCGAAAGCCUGAUCCAGCAAUGCCGCGUGAGUGAUGAAGGCCUUAGGGUUGUAAAGCUCUUUUACCCGGGAUGAUAAUGACAGUACCGGGAGAAUAAGCUCCGGCUAACUCCGCG